rnacentral:snRNA from 1 species
AUACUUACCUGGUGCCGGGACCUCCGUGAUCAGGAAGGCGGAGACCCCAGAAGGAGGCCCUUCCAUUGCACUUCGGAAGGGCUGAGACCUGCCACUCUCCCAAAUUGGGAAAGAUGGGACAUGUAAUUUUGGGUUGAAAAAAAAUAUAUAUA